ACUUGUGCUGCAUAUUUGGGAAAGAGAAGCUUAGGCUCUGUCUAAGGGUUUUAUUGUUGUGAAGAGACACCAUGACCAUGGCAACUCUUAAAAAGGAAAACAUUUAAUUGGGGCUGGAUUACAGACUCAGAAGUUCAGUCCAUUACUGUCUUGGUGAUAAACGCAGUGCGUGUGGGCAGACACCGUGCUGGAAAAGAAGCUGAGAGUUCUACAUCUGGAUCCUCAGGCAGCAGAAGGGAACUGAAACACACUGGCCACGCUUGACCUUCUGAGACCUCAGAGCCUGCCCUCACCAUGACUCACUUCCUCCAACAAGGCCACACCUCCUAAUAGUAUCACUCCCUAUGGACCAAGCAUUCACAUACAUGAGUCUAUGGGGGCCAUUCCUAUUCAAACCGCCACAGGCUCUGAUUAAAAAAAAAAAAAAAAAAAAAAAAAAAAAAAAAAAAAAGCUAUAAAAUAAAUUAGAACAGAGGGGAAGAAGUGCACUGGAAAGAUGGCUCAGAGGGUAAAGACUGGUGCAGCCCUUGUUCCAGCACCCACAUUAUGCAGCUCAAAGCAACCUAUAACUCCAGCUACAAGGGGGCAUGGUACCUCAGGCCUCUGUGGGCACCAGCACUAUGAACACACACACACACACACACACACACAAUUUUAAAAAAAUAAAGAUGACCAGAAAUAUCAAACAACGAAUUGAGUUUUUAAAAAAAAGCUUUUAUUUUUAAGUAAGAAUGCUCUUGUUUUAUGAAUGACACUAAUUUGCAUAUUAAAUAACCCUGUAAUAGAAAGCUUUGAGAUAGUUUUAAACAGAGUUAAAAAGAGGGGAGACUUUGGGUUACAAGAACCCUUCCCCGAAAAACAAAUUCUUAGAAUGAUCCCUUUUUUCCAAGAGUGUCAGUGUGACCAGUGUACCCAGCCUCUGUCAUGUCUAGUACAAAAACACAAUGGUCAGUGGGACUAAGAAAGCUGGGUUCACGGUCACCACCUCAAAGGAAGAGCACGUGCUGAGUUCUCUGUGAGUGAGAAGCUGGUUCUUGUUAACUUCCAUACCCAGAGAUGAACUCACAUAUCCACCGUGAAAACAAAAUCAAACAAACAAACAAAUCUAAAGGCCUAUGACAGAGUUGAAGUGAGAACACCAAUGAGCUUUCUAUCUUCUUUCGGACUCUCGGGUCCUUCUGUCUGCCGCCCAUCCUUCUUACCUCAUACUGCCCUGUCUUUGUCCUGAUCCUAAAUUUUGGACAAUUCUUUUUUUAUUUCUUCAUCCCUAAAGAAUUGACUUUUGUUGUUGUUCUUUCAAGACAGCCCAGCUAUAUAGCCAACUUGGCACGGAACUUUCAGUCCUCCUGCCUCCGCGCUAAGUGAUAUGACUUAGUGUAGAGAAGCGCUUUCCUGACCACCUGGGACUCACAUUGUGGAAAGAGAACCAUCUCUCACUCCAGCUUUGACCUGGACUCUUGGCUGGCUGACAGUCACCCGGCCAGUAGUCCUACCCUCUGCCCUUGCAGGUGUCGCAAGUGCUGUUAAUUAUACUGUGCAAUUAUACUCUGCUGUCUUUGUUCUUGCAUCCACAUGAUCAGCUUGUAGCUUUACUGCAGCAGGACAGAGUUAGCGCUCUCCCGGUCACCAGGGUGUGGCUGCAGUCUUUUUUAGUGACUUCAUACUUAGCUCCUUGUUUGUAAGGCAGUCUGAGGUGGUCUCCCCGGUGGAAGCUCCCCAGAAGUCAUCUUUAGGUUUUAACCUGCUAUAAUUAGCUGCAUUAAACUGGGUAGAGGGGGCACAUGCCUUUGAUCCCAGCACUCAGGAGGCAGGAGAAGCAGAUCUCUGAGUUCGAGGCCAGCCUGGUCUACAGAGCGAGUUCCAGGACAGCCAGGGCUACACAGGGAAGCCCUGUCUCGAUAAACCGAAACCAAACAGCUGCAUUGACUGUAAGGGUAAAUGAAAGAUCGAUAAUGUCUUACAUAAUUUCCUCCACGUCCUGUGGUGGGGAGGGACAGCUGCCCUGCCAUUCGGAGUCUUGCCUGUUACCUGUGUGGUGUGAUUUUUGAGCAGCCAGCUGCAAAUCCUUUUAUCCAUCUUUCUCAGUGCUCUAACACUGCUAUGUUAAGCCUUGACCUUCAUUUUAACGCCGGCUUCUGUCAUCAUUGCAACCUAGCAGCUUUCACAGUGGGCCCUUCUCACUGCCACAGAGAGCAAGCUCUUUCCUCAGUAGAACUCGGGAGGCUGAGGUAAGAGGAUGCCAGGUUCAAGACCAGCCUGAGCUUCAUAGGGAAACCCUGCUUCAAAAACAAAGAAAUAAGUACACUGUAGCUGUCUUCAAACACACCAGAAGAGGGCAUCGGAUCCCAUUACGGAUGGUUGUGAGUCACCAAGCGGUUGCUGGGAAUUGAACUCAGGACCUCUGGAAGAGCAAUCAUUGUUGAUCUUAUGUUCAGCAAUCGCUCUAGCCCGCUAGUUCUGUUUUUAAGAUUUAUUUCUCUCUCUCUCUCUCUCUCUCUCUCUCUCUCUCUUUCUUUCUUUUUUCCGAGACAGGAUUUCUCUAUAUAGCCCUGGCUGUCCUGGAACUCACUCUGUAGGCCAAACUGACUUCCAACUCAGAAAUCUGCCUGCCUCUGCCUCCCCAGUGCUGGGAUUAAAGGCGUGCACCACCACCGACCGGCUAAGAUUUAUUUCUAAUUAUUUGUAUGCGUCUGCGUUGGGUGUGUGCUUGUGAGUGCAGUGCCCACAGCAGCCAGAGGCCUAGGAUCUCCUGGAGCUCCUGGGAACUGGCAGAUGUGGAUGCUAGGAAUUGAACUUGAGUUAACUGCCCAGCCAUCUCUCUAGCCCUUAGAGUCGUCUUUGUGGCCUUGAAACAGGAUUUUGCUCUGUAGCCUAGGCUGAGAUCCCUGUCAGAGUCAGCUUCAGCUUCCAUCAGAUUUGCCUGUGGGCCUUUGUGCUUGUCUGUGCAGUAUUUCCUUAAUUGCUAAUUAACACAGGAGCACCUAGCCACUGUGGGCAGUGCCACCCUGGGAAGAUGAGCCUGGGCUGAGGGUGACAUAAGGAGGCUGAGGGUGACAUAAGGAAGCGAGCCGGUGGGCAGCGGCCCUUUGCGCCUCACGGUCUGUUUCAGUUCUCACUGUGAAUUCCUCCACCUUGGUUUCUUCAAGAAUGACCUGCAGCCUGUGAGCUGCCAUAAGUGCUUUCUCCACAGGCUGGUUUUAGUCCGAGUUUUAUCACAGCGACAGAAAGUAAACUAGAGCAAUCCCCCUGCCUCUUGAAUAGCUGAGAUUACGGCUGUGUGCUGCCACAUUCAAGUCUGGGUAGUUUUAAAAACAAAUUUUGAGUAGAUUAUAUAUUUACAUAUAAAUGUAUAGCCUAUAUUUAUGAUAAGAAACAUAGAGCCAUAAAAGAAUACUGGCACAUUUAACCGUCUAUGAUGAAUGUUGGGAUGGGGCUACACCGGUAGAGGGCUUGCCUAGGACACACUAGAUUCUGAGUUUAAUCUUUAACUCAAGACGUAAGGUAGUUAAGGCUGGUGGUGCAUGCUGGUAACUCAGGAGAGUGAAGCAGGAGGAUUUCCAGUUUGAAACCAGUGGCUAGGUGACACUCGUCAACAGAAACAAGCGAACAAAUAACAAAACAUGUGCAUAGUAAACAACAGACAAAAGUGGGAAGCAAAAGAUGAUAUUUUCAGAAAGUCUUUCUAUAUCGUCUUGUAGUGAAAAAGUUCAUGUUGAUGCAAAAAUCUGUAAGUCUGUAAGAAAAGUACAAAGAACUUAAAAUCAUACAAUAAUUUCAAGGGAAUUUCACAGGUUAGGAGCUAAAAGAACUAUUACACACAUGAAGAGGUCUCAUGUUAUCCACCAUAAAAGGAAUGACAAUUGUGUAUAGUGAAUUAAAUAAUGAAUUUUUAAGAUUUGUUUGUGUCCAAGCAUGACAUGCGUGCAGAUGCUGAGGGGACCAGGAGGGG
rnacentral:lncRNA from 1 species